GGGCGUGUUCCAGAGUGGCCAAAUGGGGCAGACUGUAAAUCUGCUGGCUUUGCCUUCGGUGGUUCGAAUCCAUCCGCGCCCA
rnacentral:tRNA from 3 species